UACGUAGGCAGCAAGCGUUGUUCGGAAUUACUGGGCGUAAAGAGUGUGUAGGCGGUUUGCUAAGUUUGGUGUGAAAUCUCCCGGCUUAACUGGGAGGGUGCGCCGAAAACUGGCAGGCUUGAGUGUCGGAGAGGAUAGCGGAAUUCCCGGUGUAGCGGUGAAAUGCGUAGAUAUCGAGAGGAACACCUGCGGCGAAGGCGGGUUGCUGGGCCGACA
rnacentral:rRNA from 1 species